rnacentral:lncRNA from 1 species
GUAUUAGUACUACUGUCAUGUAGCAGCAUUGUGCCCAUGUGUAGCAUAACCAAGUGAAUUAUGGUGGUUUCUUCAUGCUUGUAUUAUCACCAACAUAGCACAAUAUGCUUGUAGUGUAACCAAACAGGAGUAUUUCUCGAUUUAUGUCAUGGACAUGAUGAAAUUAAGUAGGCAGAUGGCAUGCAAAUAUUAUCAUUUCUUUGGUCUUUGCUUCAUGAUUACAUAACUAGCACCACAUGAUGCAACAAUGACUGGAUUUAGGGAUCCGGACAGACUAUAACUUAUAUGGAAGAAAUAUGCCUGAAUUUCCAACAACAUAGGGCUUUAUGAAACCAAAUCAAUAUGAGGAUUAUUUUCAUUUCUAUCCUUGAUUUUUAUCAACAUGGGAUGCAAGAUCACCAUGAGACCAAACCAAGAUGGACAUAUUUUGUUCUUGAAUUGUAUCAACAUAAGAUGCAAGAUCCCAUGAGACCAAAACAAGAAGGAACAUAUUUUUUACUCUUGAGUUGUAUCAACAUGAGAUGCAAGAUCCCAUGAGACCAAAACAAGAAGACUUUUGUGGGUAGCACCGAACAUAUAUGAGAUAUGUGGUGAAAGCAAAGCAUCAUCGGUGGAUAUAUUUGAGUCUUGAAUUGUACCAACAUGGGAUGCAAGAUCACCAUGAGACCAAGACAAGAGGAAUUUUGAUUACACACGCACACUUAGCUCGCAUCAAUAUGGGAUUGAAGAUAAGUAUGUGACCAGACUAGGCAUUCAUUUUAUCAUCUUGAUUUGUAUCAACAUGGGAUCAAGAUCACCAUGAGAUCGAACCAAGAGAGAAUUAAUUGGG